AUUCCACAAUCACGGGCUACUUCAAUUCUGCCUGCUGAGCUGAUUUAAUAAUCUGGAAGAGGAUUAUUCUCCCCCAUCUGGAAGAGGAUUAUUCUCUAUAAUCCCAGUUAGAGACACAAUGACAUAAACAUCGCUGUCCUGCAACCCUGGUUCCAGUCUGGCAAGCAUUGUAGACCUGGCUGCUGAAGACUGACGGGGCCCAGGGUCCGCUGCCCCCACCGCCAUCACCACCUCGGAACCCAGGGUAACGCUGUCAGUCUUUGAUGAUGUCAGAAGUGGGAUCCAAAGUAGAGCUUAUAAUGACACCUAGGAGUGCUGAGUGACCAAGCAAGGUACCCACCAGGCCGAUUAUGUCCAUUGUUCUCUUGGAGCAGCUGGUCAUCAUGAUCUAACAGAGGGAACUACAGUCACUCAACUACAAAAUUUAAAUACAAUGGGAAUAAUUGGAUCCUGAGGUGGCAGGGGAAAAGUGGCAGCACUCAACCAUCAAAGGCAAGGUAAGCAUAGCUAUCAUAAUGGACACUAGAGAAAAAACAGUAAUCAGAAUAGUCUGACUCAUGUAGAGCUCUGGGAUUGGCUAAUUAAUCAUGGUGUUCCUAGAAGUGAAACUGAUAGGAAGCCUACUGCAUUCCUACUUAAUUUAUGUAAGCAGAAAACUUCUAGGUAGAAUGGACAAAAGACUAAUUUGAAUUGUAAAAACAGAAUCACGGCCCCUCAAUCAAUUUCCCAACUUGAACCAGUUUACACGCCCAGAACCCCUUGAAUGAAGGGAAGGCCAGGACCCCUUGAGGAAAGGCUCCACUACACUACCGAUUUACCAGAGUAACUGUGCAUUGGGGAAAGGGAUCAGACAUUUCAGGGACUACUGGACACUGGCUCUGAGCUGAUGUUGAUUCCAGGGGACCCAUAAUGUCAUUGUGGUCCUCCAGUUAAAGUAGGGGCUUAUGGAGGUCAGUCAAUUAAUGGGGUUUUAGCUCAGGUCCGACUUACAGUGGGUCCAGUGAGUCCCCAGGCUCAUCUGUGGUCAUUUCCCCAGUGCCAGAAUGCAUAAUUGGCAUAGACAUACUUAGCAGCUGAUAGAACCCC
ensembl:lncRNA LINC01278 long intergenic non-protein coding RNA 1278